UGCAGUCGAACGAGCGAGAGAGAGCUUGCUUUCUCGAGCGAGUGGCGAACGGGUGAGUAACGCGUGAGGAACCUGCCUCAAAGAGGGGGACAACAGUUGGAAACGACUGCUAAUACCGCAUAAGCCCACGGCUCGGCAUCGAGCAGGGGGAAAAGGAGCAAUCCGCUUUGAGAUGGCCUCGCGUCCGAUUAGCUAGUUGGUGAGGUAACGGCCCACCAAGGCGACGAUCGGUAGCCGGACUGAGAGGUUGAACGGCCACAUUGGGACUGAGACACGGCCCAGACUCCUACGGGAGGCAGCAGUGGGGAAUAUUGCACAAUGGGGGAAACCCUGAUGCAGCGACGCCGCGUGGAGGAAGAAGGUCUUCGGAUUGUAAACUCCUGUUGUUGGGGAAGAUAAUGACGGUACCCAACAAGGAAGUGACGGCUAACUACGUGCCAGCAGCCGCGGUAAAACGUAGGUCACGAGCGUUGUCCGGAAUUACUGGGUGUAAAGGGAGCGCAGGCGGGAAGACAAGUUGGAAGUGAAAUCUAUGGGCUCAACCCAUAAACUGCUUUCAAAACUGUUUUUCUUGAGUAGUGCAGAGGUAGGCGGAAUUCCCGGUGUAGCGGUGGAAUGCGUAGAUAUCGGGAGGAACACCAGUGGCGAAGGCGGCCUACUGGGUACCAACUGACGCUGAGGCUCGAAAGUGUGGGUAGCAAACAGGAUUAGAUACCCUGGUAGUCCACACCGUAAACGAUGAUUACUAGGUGUUGGAGGAUUGACCCCUUCAGUGCCGCAGUUAACACAAUAAGUAAUCCACCUGGGGAGUACGACCGCAGGGUUGAAACUCAAAGGAAUUGACGGGGGCCCGCACAAGCAGUGGAGUAUGUGGUUUAAUUCGACGCAACGCGAAGAACCUUACCAAGUCUUGACAUCCCUUGACGAUGCUGGAAACAGUAUUUCUCUUCG
rnacentral:rRNA from 1 species